rnacentral:rRNA from 1 species
UGGGGAAUAUUGCGCAAUGGAGGAAACUCUGACGCAGCAACGCCGCGUGAAGGAUGAAGGCUUUCGGGUUGUAAACUUCUUUGAUCGGGGACGAAGAUGACGGUACCCGAGGAACAAGCCACGGCUAACUACGUGCCAGCAGCCGCGGUAACACGUAGGAGGCAAACGUUAUCCGGAUUUACUGGGCGUAAAGCGCGUGUAGGUGGUACUGUAAGUAGGGCGUGAAAGCUCCUGGCUCAACUGGGAGAGGCCGUUCUAAACUGCAGCACUCGAGUUUGGUAGAGGAAGAUGGAAUUCCAGGUGUAGCGGUAAAAUGCGCAGAUAUCUGGAGGAACACCAGUGGCGAAAGCGGUCUUCUAGACCAAUACUGACACUCAGACGCGAAAGCUAGGGUAGCAAACGGG